AUGAACGCUGGCGGCGUGCUUAACACAUGCAAGUCGAACGAAGCACUUACGACGGAAUCCUUCGGGAGGAAGAUGUUGUGACUGAGUGGCGGACGGGUGAGUAACGCGUGGGUAACCUGCCUCAUGGAGGGGGACAACAGUUGGAAACGACUGCUAAUACCGCAUAACAUGUGACUGUGGCAUCACAGACACAUCAAAGAAGCAAUUCGCUGAUAGAUGGGCUUGCGUCUGAUUAGAUAGUUGGUGGGGUAAAGGCCUACCAAGUCGACGAUCAGUAGCCGGACUGAGAGGUUGAACGGCCACAUUGGGACUGAGAUACGGCCCAGACUCCUACGGGAGGCAGCAGUGGGGAAUAUUGCACAAUGGGGGAAACCCUGAUGCAGCAACGCCGCGUGAGUGAUGAAGUAUUUCGGUAUGUAAAGCUCUAUCAGCAGGGAAGAAAUUGACAGUACCUGACUAAGAAGCCCCGGCUAACUACGUG
rnacentral:rRNA from 1 species